ensembl:lncRNA
UCUCUCUCAAUCUCUCUCUCUCUUUCUCUUCCUGUUUCUCUCUCUCUCCAUCUCUAGGUCAGGUGAUACCCACUGUAAAGCCGACGACUCCCACUGGUAAGUCGUAAUGCAGUGUUUCAUUCUGCGCAAAAAAACCAAAACCAUUCACACACCGACGGCGGUGUCGACCACAAAAGGCGGCGAUCAGGUCGUAGGGUGCGGUUAGGGGGAGAUGUCUUGCUCAGGAAGACCUCGACACUCAGCUAGGAGGAGCCGGGGAUCGAACUAGCAACCUUCCGGUUACCAGCCAGCCCGCUCUACCUCCUGAACCACGUUCUGCUCUAAUAAUGGGAUGGACGUGCCGACAAUAUCAACGUACACAGAGAAUGAAACGGGGAAGGAGGAAGCGACAUGAAAUGGUGUGCUCACACUCACGGCAUUGCAGCCCCGGUGUUCAAAUCUUUUUAAUCUUUUUGCCUUGCUCCGUGACAGAGUUUACAACUGGAUGUUAUGUUACACGGUCCCUCACACAGGGAGAAGCCAUGACGAUGAAGCGUGUCAUUCAGGACGGUGUUGUUAAACCGUCUGCCUGGAGACAUGUAAAUCCAGCGUAAAAAACAGUCUGAAUGCGUAUGAUGAAGCAAUGUGUAACACAUGAUGUGUGUAUGAAACACAUACAUCUCUUAAUCUUAGCAGCAGUUGGGAAAUCUUAACUAAGAGGAAAGUAACACAGAUGGUUGACCAGUAAGGGCUAAGUCACUAGUCCGACAAAGAAACUCGUUCUGUUCCUCAGUAGUGGAGGAAGUACUCACACAUAGUACUGAAGUAAAAGCACAAACAGAAAAAAA